rnacentral:rRNA from 1 species
UACGUAGGUGACCAGCGUUGUCCGGAUUUACUGGGCGUAAAGAGCGCGCAGGCGGUCGUUCAAGUCGAGUGUGAAAGCCCCCCGGCUCAACUGGGGAGGGUCAUUCGAUACUGAUCGACUCGAAGGCAGGAGAGGGAAGCGGAAUUCCCGGUGUAGUGGUGAAAUGCGCAGAUAUCAGGAGGAACACCAAUGGCGAAGGCAGCACUCUGGGACGUGACUGACGCUGAGACGCGAAAGCGUGGGGAGCAAACAGG